GCCGCUAUAGCUCAGUCUGGGAGAGCACUCGGCUGAAGACCGAGGUGUCGUGGGUUCAAAUCCCACUGGCGGCA
rnacentral:tRNA from 1 species